ACGCUCGACACCUACGGGAGGAAGCAGUGGGGAAUAUUGCACAAUGGGGGAAACCCUGAUGCAGCAACGCCGCGUGAGUGAAGAAGUAUUUCGGUAUGUAAAGCUCUAUCAGCAGGGAAGAUAAUGACGGUACCUGACUAAGAAGCUCCGGCUAAAUACGUGCAAGCAGCCGCGGUAAUCUGAGCGGGCUGGCAAGGC
rnacentral:rRNA from 1 species